GACAGAGGGUGCAAACGUUGUUCGGAAUUACUGGGCGUAAAGCGCGUGUAGGCGGCUAAGUAAGUCGGGCGUGAAAUCCCACGGCUCAACCGUGGAAGUGCACUCGAAACUGCAUAGCUAGAGUCCUGGAGAGGAAGGUGGAAUGCUUGGUGUAGAGGUGAAAUUCGUAGAUAGUCAAGCGGAACACCGGUGGCGAAGGCGGGUCUCUGGGCCGAAAUUGACGCUGAGGAGCGAAAGCGUGGGGAGCGAACAGG
rnacentral:rRNA from 1 species